rnacentral:rRNA from 1 species
UACGUAGGGUGCGAGCGUUGUCCGGAAUUAUUGGGCGUAAAGGGCUCGUAGGCGGUUUGUCACGUCGGGAGUGAAAACUCAGGGCUUAACCCUGAGCCUGCUUCCGAUACGGGCAGACUAGAGGUAUGCAGGGGAGAACGGAAUUCCUGGUGUAGCGGUGAAAAUGCGCAGAUAUCAGGAGGAACACCGGUGGCGAAGGCGGUUCUCUGGGCAUUACCUGACGCUGAGGAGCGAAAGUGUGGGGAGCGAACAGG